UCUGAAUCUGCGUACGGCUCCGCAAACCAGUUGUAAACUAUAGCAAGCAAGCCCGGGAUCGGCCUUCACGGGCUGGUUCCGGGUGAUAUGGAUAACCCUGGUAAUUCUGAGGCUAAUACAUGACCGUAAAACCUAGCUGACCGGCUUCGGCUGGGAUGCUGGGGGACGUGUGAUUUGGGCUUGGUAACACCGGGAAGGGGCGCACGUCUAGACCACGCUAUAAAGGUCGGUUUUCCCUUCGGGGGGGGCUGUCCCAGUGGCUCUUGCUGUGUGCUUCUGACCUAUCAACUAGACGGCAGCGUAAGGGACAUGCUAUGGU
rnacentral:rRNA from 2 species